UAGGGAAUCUUCGGCAAUGGGGGCAACCCUGACCGAGCAACGCCGCGUGAGUGAAGAAGGUUUUCGGAUCGUAAAGCUCUGUUGUAAGAGAAGAACGUGUGUGAGCGUGGAAAGUUCACACAGUGACGGUAACUUACCAGAAAGGGACGGCUAACUACGUGCCAGCAGCAGCGGUAAUACGUAGGUCCCGAGCGUUGUCCGGAUUUCUUGGUCGUAAAGCGAGCGCGUGCGGUUUAAUAAGUCUGAAGUUAAAGGCAGUGGCUUAACCAUUGGUCGCUUUGGAAACUGUUAAACUUGAGUGCAGAAGGGGAGAGUGGAAUUCCAUGUGUAGCGGUGAAAUGCGUAGAUAUAUGGAGGAACACCGGUGGCGAAAGCGGCUCUCUGGUCUGUAACUGACGCUGAGGCUCGAAAGCGUGGGGAGCAAACAGG
rnacentral:rRNA from 1 species